rnacentral:lncRNA from 1 species
UCGACGGUGGAGAAGCCGCAUGUGAUGCACUCUAUCUGCUCCUGCGACUUUUCCGUGUGACAUACGGUGUGGCGAUCUUGUUGUCAUGGGAAGCUCGCUUUUGAGCUUCCCUGCGGUAUUUGCUCUGGCAUCUUUUAUUAGCCGGCAGAUUGGUACGUAUCCUCCAGCCUACUUUUUUCAGCUGGAUGAUGAUCGUGAUGAAAUAAGAAUGCUAGGUUAGUCUGAGUGAUGAUGAUUGUCGGCAUUUGUCCCAUUUUUAAUGGACGCGUAUGCUUGCUUGUAACCUGUUGUGGACUUGCAUUUGCAUGUUUGCGGUCGAUAUGAAAAUAUGAGAAAUUUGUUGGUUCUCACCUUCUUGUUCAGUGUGUGCUCAUCUGUUCACCUGCUCGUAGCAGUCGGCGUAUUGCCGGGUUUGUGUUUACCGUCCGUUGGCAGUAAUUGUUCGUACUUGCUGUGAGAAAUUUACAGUGGUUUGGCUGUGGCUUAAGCAAAAAACUGCUGUGGGGGAAGUAACUGUGGACAAGAUGCAUAUACAUUCUGCCAAAACCGAAGUGUCAUAAGACAAAAAGUUGCUACUGUACUGAACUGAAAGGGAAUACUCAUUCUGGAGAACUAGGCCUGCUUGCAUUCCAAUGAAUGACGAUGCCACCUGAAGCCUGAAGCCCCUACUGAUGGCAAAUACUCGAGACUUACUGAACCUUCUGGGACAGAAUUUCCAGAAAUUGUUCAUGUCAAAGGUCUCUCUUUUAGUUUCCUCCAGGCAGAGGACGGAAAAAGUUGUUCAUUUCUCGAGUCCAAACACCUAACCAAUUUAAGAUGGUCCAUUGUCUGUUCCCAUAAUAACAGUCAGGUUAACAUGUGACAUUGUACUAACUGACAGUCUGACACCAUGCUAGUCAGCCAAUGCCCUUGCAACAGCCAUAAAUCCAGAGACCAACCACAGAAUGAAUAUUAAACUCAAGGUCUGAGCAUACACAACCCAGGUCUAGAACGACCGCACAAUCCAUUACAUACAUCAUAAAGGUUAUAGAAUGACUGCAUCCCAGACACUCAAACCCUAGCAAAAGCUUCUGAAUUUGUGUCAAUCGUGGAUGGCUUCAGGUCUUUUUUCUUCCCCUGCUGCUUUCCUUACUGCCCCCUGGGCCAGCUUGAUCGUCUCUUGUUGGCCUGGGUCGCAGGCUUAUGAUCUAAUCCCUCAUUAACGAUCUUGCGAAAUGCCGAAGUGAGGGUAUGAAUUAGUGGAGAAUUAACGACCUAAUCCUAGAUUAUCAAAUUACCCUCGAAGUGGUGGUACUCCCCAGUUUUUAAUGGUAGUACUCCAAGGCAUCUAUGCUGGACUGCCAAACAACCAUAUCCAUCAGAUCAGAGCAGAUGGAGGGCUUAUAUUCAUUUGAGGGUACCAUAAAACAACUCUAAUCUUAAGCUUCGUGUCACUAACCUCCUCUAUGACACCACUAAUCAUAUAUGUGGCACCAUCUGCAUUUGAACUUGUCUCGUUCGAAGAGCCCUGUCAGGUUAUGAAUAGAAAAUUUGCCUUCGAAAAAGCAAUUAUUGAAUUAAGGAACCAAACCGUCAGUAUGACACAUCUAUGCUAGUAAAAUCACGGCUUGGAGCCUAGGGCAUGGGGCCUGCAGCCGGUUGCGGGGGCGUUCGCGGCAUGCCUCCCGUGUAGGCAACCCCCCUCGUCUCCGGAGGCCCUCCCUCCUCCUGAGCCAUGGUGACGCUCUCGCAAAGAGGCGGCGAUGCUUAUGUGGUUGUGCUUGUCACGGGGAUUCUCAUGGUGGGUCCAAGCUGGCAUUGUUCCGGCCCUGGCGGCCUUGACCCAUGUCUCUCCGGUGUCCUUCGUUGCCGGUGUUUUCUAUCGGGCAGCUCCAGCAUAGGCGCCCGGGUAUCUGCGUCACUUCCAGUUCACCUGGCUCGCCGACGUCCCGAUGGCUUAAGCCACGGUAGCCCAGAUCUGCGUCCCUUCAGUCCUGGCUUGCCAGCGUUGCUAGACGCCGUCGCCCCAGGACCCCCACAUGAUUCGCCCCAUUGCCCGCCCUACCCUGUACGCCUUAAAGCCUCCUCCUUUUGCUGGAUCCAAUGCUCAUGGGUUUGGAGGCAGUGCCACCUUCCGACGACAGGUGCAGCCCCGCCAACCCCCUCCUGAUGGUGGUUCCAAUCAGUGUUGGCCUUCCCAUCCAUGAUUCCAGAUUCGGCGGCUAUGGAAUCGUGCAGCUUCAGGCCAGCGAGAGAUCCUUGCUCGGUUUUUGCAGGUGCUGGCAGCGAUGGCACUCACGGGUGUUGUUUCCUUCUUGGAGGUGUUGCAAAGGCCUUCAGCUACGUCCCUCUUAGAUUUCAGGGGAAACCCUAGGUCCGGGUCCCCCGGACCAGAUAGUGACGGCAUCUUGGCAUCGUCUUCCUUCUUGAAGGCACUAUCUUGAUCGCUCGCAGUGUCCCCGGGUUUUGGCUCGUGUGAUUCUCAUUGGUUUUUAGCUCGCAGGGUCCCAUGGGAUUCUCGUUGGUUUGGCAUCACCGCUCUUGCCUCAGGUGUGGUAGGUUUAGCUGUGUUGUAUCUUCUGUUCGGCCUGAGGCACCAUGUUCAUGCCUGCCAGCGUUCGUGUCAUGUGUUGUAUCACUCUGUACUCAUUCUACUCUUUCUAUCAAUAAAAUGAUACGCAAGCUUUGCGUAUUCACGAAAAAAUAUGCUAGUAAAAUCAUCUCAUGGACCUUACACACCUUGUACCAAGGUUUUCAUCGGUGCGCCAUUCUCGCGAUUUAGCAGUUUUUUUCAUAUUAGCAAUAAUGUCUCUCCGAUCAUAGCUUGGGACAUAGCUGAUCAAUCGAGCGCUAAUGUCUUCACUGCCAUUCACCAAAACCAUGAGAAUGAUAACAUGCAUAUACCAGAAGAAAAUGUGACAUAUUUUAGGCACGCAAAAACCAAUCCAUUUGCAAUCAUGCAGGAUAAAAUAAUGUUCGAGGAGAGAUAAUAUUACCACUGGGUUCAACUAACCGCCCAGCUUCAUUGAAAUACUCCCUCCGUUCCUAAAUAUAAGUCUUUGUAGGGAUUCUACUAGGCGGACUACAUAUGAAGCAAAAUAAAUGAAUCUACACUUAAAAUGCAUCUAUAUAUAUCCGUAUGUGGUUCAUAGUGGAAUCUCUACAAAGACUUAGGCCUCUUUUGGUUCAUAGGAUAGGAUUAUCGUAGGAAUAGGAAUCUUGUAGGAAAUGAGAUGACAUGUAUCUCAAAUCCUAUGAGUAGGAAUAGGAAACAAGAUGUCAUUUGGUUGACACCAAAGGAAUUUUUCCAUUGAGUCUAGGCUCAUUUUUAUUUUCCUAUGAAAUGUGGAGGAUAGGAACCAAUCCUAUAUAGGAAUAGGAAUCCAUUCCUAUGAACCAAAGGGCUCUAAAGAAAAAAAUCCUAUAAGAAUCCUAUCUUCUAGAAUUCCCAUGAAAUUCCUCCAAACCAAAGGAGGCCUUAUAUUUAGGAACGGAGGGAGUAGUUGAGAAUAGUUGGGGGAAUUAGACGGGCGAUAGGUGGUAACCUGGUGUAGACGUGUCAAGCAUCAGCAGCAUAUUACCCACCUGAAAUGAAUCAAGCAUAAGAGCUCGUUACAAACAAGGUCAUAUGGUAAUUGGCUUUUUACAAAGAUACCCACCGAAUUCCUACUACAUCGGUCGGCCGUGGUAAGCAAGUGUCGCAGCCAUGUAACCUCAGCUCCAACUUCUCCUCGCAGCUCCAUCUUGGGCAUCAAGUUCGAUGUAAAUGAAACCAAGUAAAGCCUUGAACACGUGUCACACUUAGACAUGUAAUGUAGUGUUGUGCACUCUUGUCUUAUUACUGUUCUGCAUAAACAAUAGAUUUAAAUCAGCACGCAAGACUCCGUGGCCCAAUGGAUAAGGCGCUGGUCUACGAAACCAGAGAUUCUGGGUUCCAUCCCCAGCGGAGUCGCAUCUGUUUUCUUCUUCCUUCGUUUUUGCCCCAACCCUGGUGGUUCCUCUCUGUUCAUCAGUUUUAGAUGUGACCAUAUCCUCUUCUUUUUCAACCAAAAUGACAUAAUAAUUAACACAGUUUUGCAAGUAACAAGCUUCGUUAUUGUACUCCCUCCGCUCCAUAAUGUAGUGCCUAUAGAUUUUUUAUAAAGUCAAACUUUACAAACUUUGACCAAGUUUAUUGAGAAAAACAUUCACAUUUUAAAUGACAAUACACAUAUAUUGUUAGAUUCAUCGUAAGAUAUAUUUUCAUAUUUUAUAUAUUUGACAUUGUAUAUGUUCAUCAGUUUUAGAUGUGACCAUAUCCUCUUCUUUUUCAACCAAAAUGACAUAAUAAUUAACACAGUUUUGCAAGUAACAAGCUUCGUUAUUGUACUCCCUCCGCUCCAUAAUGUAGUGCCUAUAGAUUUUUUAUAAAGUCAAACUUUACAAACUUUGACCAAGUUUAUUGAGAAAAGCAUUCACAUUUUAAAUGACAAUACACAUAUAUUGUUAGAUUCAUCGUAAGAUAUAUUUUCAUAUUUUAUAUAUUUGACAUUGUAUAUGUUCAUCAGUUUUAGAUGUGACCAUAUCCUCUUCUUUUUCAACCAAAAUGACAUAAUAAUUAACACAGUUUUGCAAGUAACAAGCUUCGUUAUUGUACUCCCUCCGCUCCAUAAUGUAGUGCCUAUAGAUUUUUUAUAAAGUCAAACUUUACAAACUUUGACCAAGUUUAUAGAGAAAACUAUAUAUACAAUGUCAAAUAUAUAAAAUAUGAAAAUAUAUCUUACGAUGAAUCUAACAAUAUAUGUUUGUCAUUUAAAAUGUGAAUGUUUUUCUCAAUAAACUUGGUCAAAGUUUGUAAGGUUUGACUUUAAAAAAAAAA